rnacentral:rRNA from 1 species
AGGACGAACGCUGGCGGCGUGCUUAACACAUGCAAGUCGAGCGGAAAGGCCCUUCGGGGUACUCGAGCGGCGAACGGGUGAGUAACACGUGAGCAACCUGCCCUUAGCUUCGGGAUAGCUCCGGGAAACCGGAAUUAAUACCGAAUAUGACUUUGGCUGACAUCAGCAGAAGUGGAAAGUUUUUCGGCUAGGGAUGGACUCGCGGCCUAUCAGCUAGUUGGUGAGGUAACGGCCCACCAAGGCGACGACGGGUAGCCGGCCUGAGAGGGCGACCGGCCACACUGGGACUGAGACACGGCCCCAGACUCCUACGGGAGGCAGCAGUGGGGAAUAUUGCGCAAUGGGCGAAAGCCUGACGCAGCGACGCCGCGUGGGGGAUGAAUGCCUUCGGGUUGUAAACCCCUUUCAGCAGGGACGAAGCGAAAGUGACGGUACCUGCAGAAGAAGCGCCGGCUAACUACGUGCCAGCAGCCGC